rnacentral:lncRNA from 1 species
GUGAGCCGAGAUCGUGCCAUUACACUCCAGCCUGGGAGACAGAGCAGCACUCCGUCUCAAAAAAAAAAAAAAAAAAAAAGAAAAGAAAAGAAAAAAAAAAGAGGCUGGGUGCCAUGGCUCACACCUGUAAUCCCAUCACCUUGGGAGAAGUUUCUCUUAAGCCCAGGAGUUUGAGACCAGCCUGGGCAACAUGGAGAAACCCUGUCUCUACAAAAUAUACAAAAAUUAGCAGGGCGUGGUGGUGCAUGCCUGUAGUCCCAGCUACUCAGGAGGCUGAGAUGGGAGGAUCACUUAAGCCUAGGAGAUUGAGGCUGCAGUGGGCUAUGGUUGUGCCACUGCACUCCAGUCUGGGCAACAGAGCAAGACCCUGUCUCAAAAAAAUAAAAAAAAGAAAAGAAUAAAAGUGUUACAACAAUGCCAGCACUGUACUGGAAGACAGUAAUCAAAGAAGUAAAACUGUAUCUAUUCACAGAUGAUGUGAUUUUAUAGAUACGAAAUCCUGAAGAACACACACACACACACACACAUACACACACAAACUUAUUAGAGCUAAUACAUUCCACAAAAUUAGCAUCCAUGAUCAACACACAAAAACCUCUUACUUGUAUUUCUGUACACUGGCAACGAACAACCCAAAAAUGAAAUUAAAAACAUUCUCGGCCAGAUGCAGUGGCUUACGCCUAUAAUCCCAG